UGUGGUCUCUGCUGCAUGUCACACAUUGAAGCACUGUGCUGGGGGUCAUCACAGGCUGUUUAACUCAAUUGUCACAUGAGCCUGGGUGCACAAAAUGGUAGAGCAGCUCAGAGAGAGAUGGACAGACAGCAUGAACCUCUGAGGAGUCAGGUUUUCUUGGAUGAAGGGACACUAAGAUGGCUUUGGAGCGUGAGAAGGACUUCACCUAGCAAAUGUGGGAAAGGAGUGAGACCUCCAGGCAGAGGGACUGGCUGGAGACGAGCGUGAUGUGGAACGUGUGACAAUUGAGUUGAACAGGCUGCAAAAACGAAAAAGAAGAAAGAAAUGCUGAGUUAAACAGGCUGCAAUGACCCCCAGCACGGUGCUUCAAUGCAUGAAACGCAUCAAUGACUUGCAGCAGAGGCCACACUCAGCCCCCCUCUGCCCUUUGAGUUUUUGCAGCUCUUGCCAAGAUCAUUCUUGUUCUUAGAAAGCCCACCAUUAUUUUCCUUUCUAGCCAUAUGGAUUCUAAAAGUUCCUCUUGUGAGCUGUAAUCAGAAUGCAGAGAAGUAAUACAAGGUUAGGGCCCAGGACUCUUUCUCCCACCUCUCCCUGCAGAGACUCAGAUUUUUUUAAAAAAUGACCUUGGUCUUCGGGGGAAGAACUUCCCACCACAGUGAACAGCCAUGCCCAGCCUACACUUGACUGUGCGGCUUACUUAGCUCAUCCAUCCAAAGGCUAUUCCUGGGUUGCCUAGUGGAAAUCCAGGCAUGGAGCUAGUGCAAGCACAAUGAUAAGAGUGAGCCUGGCAGACACUGACCCCAGCAAUAAUCAGGUAAACAAAUAAACAGAACUACAAACUAUGAUGACAAGAAUUCAUCCAUCCACAGAUAUUCACUGAAUGGCCACUGUGUGCCUGGCACUGUUCCAAGUGCUGAAGAAAAAUGAAGAAAACAAAAAUCCCUGCCCUUAUAGAGGAGACAUUAUAAUGUGACAAGAUAACAUAAUGAAAAAGAAUGAAGAAUAAAAUAGAAAAGUAAAAUGGAUUGCAUGUCACUUGAUGACAAGUACUGUGGAAUGAGGCCGUCAUCUAAAUGGAGCACAGAAAGUGGAACAUGGCGACAUCUCAGCCAAAAGACCCGGCAGACACCAUCUUGGCCAAGGGAUCGAGGUUGGCAUCGCCAGCUGUGAGCAGUGCUGACAUCUUAUUAUCUUCGAUAUGGCGUCAUGAGCAGGCUGCCUCCUCUUGGUGGGAUCUUCCCCCAAACCCAGAACCUCAGUCUAAUCACAAGAAAAUGACAGCCAAUCCCAAGUUCAGGGACAUUUGGCAAAAUAGCCCACCACUCCUACUUAAAAGUGUCGAGGUCUUGAAAGGCAAGGAAACCCUGGGAAAUCGUCUUUGGCCGGAGGAAACUCAGCAGACAUGACGACUAAAUGCAAUGUAGAAUCCUCGGACAGAAAAGGACAUUAGUAGGACAGCUGGUGAAACCCAAGUAAGUCCAGGCUGUACCAAUGUCCACUUCCCAGUUCUGAGGAACAUGCUGUGGUCUGUCCACAUUUACAUUAGGAGAAGCAGGGAGAGCGUAUAUGGGACCUCUCUGUAUUGUUUUUAUAACUUUUCUGUAAAUCCAAAA